rnacentral:rRNA from 1 species
CGCCUGUUUAUCAAAAACAUCGCCUCUUGUUCAAUUAUAGGAGGUCCAGCCUGCCCAGUGACUCUGUUCAACGGCCGCGGUAUCCUAACCGUGCGAAGGUAGCGUAAUCACUUGUUCUUUAAAUGAGGACUAGUAUGAAUGGUCCCACGAGGGCUGCACUGUCUCCUUUUUCUAAUCAAUGAAACUAAUCUCCCCGUGAAGAAGCGGGAAUUAUCCUAUAAGACGAGAAGACCCUAUGGAGCUUUAAACAAUUGAAACAUUUGCUUUUCUCCUAACUCCUCCCGAGCUCUUUAUUUUUAUUUAAGCAUUAUUAUUUCUAGUUUUAGGUUGGGGUGACCACGGAGCAAAACUAAACCUCCAUGAAGAAAUGAAUAUUUUUAAGCCACAAACUACUUUUUUAAGCAUCAACAAAUUGACCUUCAUUGACCCAAUAUAUUGAUCAACGAACCAAGUUACCCUAGGGAUAACAGCGCAAUCUACUUCAAGAGCUCAUAUCGACAAGUAGGUUUACGACCUCGAUGUUGGAUCAGGGUAUCCUAGUGGUGCAGCCGCUACUAAUGGUUCGUUUGUUCAACGAUUAAAACCCU